CCGCACCCGAGUCAACGGGUGAAACCCGAAUUGACUGGGUUUAGGUUCGGGUUCGGGUGCCACCCGAUAUUUCGGGUGUGGGUUUGGGAUAGCUUAAACCCGCACCCGAAACCCGAAACCACACCCGCUUAUAUAUUAAAUUACAAAACUAUCCCUAAAUAUAUAUAUAUUUCAAUAAUUAAAAAUAAAAUGUAG